UACGAAGGGGGCUAGCGUUGCUCGGAAUCACUGGGCGUAAAGCGCACGUAGGCGGAUUGCUAAGUCAGGGGUGAAAUCCUGGAGCUCAACUCCAGAACUGCCUUUGAUACUGGCGGUCUCGAGUCCGGGAGAGGUGAGUGGAACUGCGAGUGUAGAGGUGAAAUUCGUAGAUAUUCGCAAGAACACCAGUGGCGAAGGCGGCGACCUGGGCCAAUACUGACGCUGAGGUGCGAAAGCGUGGGGAGCAAACAGG
rnacentral:rRNA from 1 species